AGACACACACACACACACACACACACACAUACAGAGCUCUGUUAAUUUUAACCAGUGUGUGUAGCUCAUUUAUUAAAGAGAAUAAUGAAGUGUGUGGGUAAUUAGUAACUAGAAAAGGUGGAACCUCUCCUUUAUAUCCCUCCAUUACUGAGAGAGAGCUGACACACACUCUCUCACACACAUUCACUCACAAACACACACACACACACACAGCUGAAGCACAGAGGUUGACAUGAGCGGACAAAGGACAGAGCAGCAGCUGCUCCACCUCACCCCUCUGCCUAGCUGCUUCCUCUGGAGGUAGUUUCUCAAUCUCCCUAAAGAUGGGUGGAGGAAAGUCUGAGUCUCCAUCCUCUGAGCUUUCUCCAUCCGUCCGCUCGGCUGGUUCACCGCGCUCUGCCCCAACGCCACCUCCCACCCCGGUUCCGGCUCGGUUCCGCUCUCUCUCCAGCUCUCCGACUGCCUGGAUCAGCACUUCACGGGUCACACCAGAGCCCAACAGAGAGCAUAGCAGUUGUUGCUGCAGAGCUGAAAGCCUGCACACUCGUCCCUCCAUCCCUCGCUCCUCUCCUCCCUCCAUUACCCAGCUACACACACACACACACACACACACAGGUUACUACUGGAGUAAUAGGUUGUGAUUGUUCACCUCACACAAAGUCAUCAGUUCAUAGCUAACAGACUGAUUUGGUUCAGACCUUCUGUAGCUUGGGAUUGUUCCGUCUGAGUCAUAGUUCAGCUGAAGCUGUUGGAUUUGGGCCGUGAUUUAUCUCAAGCUUCUGUCCCUCAUGUCAGACCUCAGAUGUUUGUCUAUGAUUUAAUUCAGAUCUUUUCUUUUUGGUUGAGUUUAGUGAUGGUUCUAAGUUCUAAUGACCUCAUUUUGGGCCACAGAUGUUCCUUACUGGUUGAACCACAGUCCGGUUCCAGGACUUUAUAUGACUACGUUCACUCUACAUAACAACGGGACAUGUUUCCUAACAGUUAGAAAUGAAAAAACAAAUGAAAUUGAAAAUGAUGUUAUGAUUAACACUGAUAAUAACUGUGAGAACUGUAAUAAGACGUUAAUAACUGAUAUGAAAGCAUGUUAUUCACACGUCAUAAACCACACUGUGGACUGGAAA